rnacentral:rRNA from 1 species
ACGAACGCUGGCGGCGUGCUUAACACAUGCAAGUCGCACGGAAAGGCCCCUUUGGGGGUACUCGCGUGGGGAACGGGUGAGUAACACGUGAGUAACCUGCCCUUGACUUCGGGAUAACUUCAGGCAACUGAGGCUAAUUCCGGAUAGGAAUCCUUGCUGCAUGGUGGGGGUUGGUAAGAUUCGGGGGUUUUGGAUGGACUCGCGGCCUAUCAGCCUGUUGGUGGGGUAGUGGGUUACCAAGGCUUUGACGGGUAGCCGGCCUGAGAGGGCGGCCGGCCACAUUGGGACUGAGAUACGGCCCAGACUCCUACGGGAGGCAGCAGUGGGGAAUAUUGCACAAUGGGCGGAAGCCUGAUGCAGCAACGCCGCGUGCGGGAUGACGGCCUUCGGGUUGUAAACCGCUUUCAGCAGGGGCGAAGCUUGUGGUGACGGUACCUGCAGAAGAAGCACCGGCUAACUACGUG